rnacentral:lncRNA from 1 species
CAGAGGCGGGGGAGGGAAGAGGAGAGGGCUGUCUCCAACUCGGGGAGAAGAACGGCCGGCCGCAAGUUUCCCGGUUUGUGCCAGUUUGGGGAUUUGCGAAUCAGACCGGAGCGGAGGGAACGGCGGACUUUGCCGUGGCAAACCCGGGCUCCGACGACAGAGGCAGCGCAGAAGCUCGCUCCUAAAUGAGACAAUUUUAUUAAAAUCAUAAUUCCUUGCA